rnacentral:rRNA from 1 species
UACGUAGGUGGCAAGCGUUGUCCGGAAUUAUUGGGCGUAAAGCGCGCGCAGGCGGCCUCUUAAGUCUGAUGUGAAAGCCCCCGGCUCAACCCGGGGAGGGCCUUGGAAACUGGGAGGCUUGAGUAUAGGAGGGAAGAGUGGAAUUCCACGUGUAGCGGUGAAAUGCGUAGAGAUGUGGAGGAACACCAGUGGCGAAGGCGACUCUUUGGCCUAUAACUGACGCUGAGGCGCGAAAAGCGUGGGGGAGCAAACAGG